rnacentral:rRNA from 1 species
AUUGAACGCUGGCGGCAGGCCUAACACAUGCAAGUCGAACGAGUGGCGGACGGGUGAGUAAUGUCUGGGGAACUGCCGGAUGGAGGGGGAUAACUACUGGAAACGGUAGCUAAUACCGCAUCCCAUCGGAUGUGCCCAGAUGGGCUUAGCUAGUGGGUGGGGUAACGGCUAACCUAGGCGACGUUCCCGAGCUGGUCUGAGAGGAUGACCAGCCACACUGGAACUGAGACACGGUCCAGACGCCUACGGGUGGCAGCAGUGGGGAAUAUUGCACAAUGGGCGCAAGCCUGAUGCAGCCAUGCUGCGUGUAUGAAGAAGGCCUUCGGGUUGUAAAGUACUUUCAGCGGGGAGGCGUUACCCGCAGAAGAAGCACCGGCUAACUCCGUGCCAGCAGCCGCGGUAAUAC